rnacentral:tRNA from 1 species
AUUUAAAUAGUUUAAUAAAAAUAUUGAUUUGUGGUGUCAAUGAUAAGAGAUUGUUCUUUUUAAAUC